GGUCGGUGGUCUUUAAACACACGCCUUAGCGUGAGGGUGAUAAUGUAGCAUAAUAAUUUGACGCUUAAUUAGUGUCUAGUAUGAACGGUGAAACGUCCCUGAAAUUGUCUCAUUUUUAAAUAUAUUAAACUUUAAAUAAUAGUUAGGAUGCUAUUUGAAACUUGUUAGACGAAAAGACCCUAUAAACCUUUACUUUUAAGAUAUAGCUUUUUAGCUAAAUUUAAAAGUUUAGCUGGGGCGGCUGAUUUCUAAAAUUAACGAAAAUUAACUAUAUAAUUUAGUAACAAUAUAUAUUAUGUUUAUCUAAUAAGAUUACCAUUACUUUCCGUGGGUGAUGACCUUUCUUUUACUAUUCAAGAAAGAACAUUAAUAAAUAAAAGGUACUUUAGGGAUAACAGCGUCAUCUUAAGGUAGAGAUCAAAUUAAUCUUAAGGUUUGCGACCUCGAUGUUGAAUUAAGAUUUCCUGAAGGAGCAGAA
rnacentral:rRNA from 1 species